rnacentral:rRNA from 1 species
UACGUAGGGGGCUAGCGUUGUCCGGAAUCAUUGGGCGUAAAGCGCGUGUAGGCGGUCCGGUAAGUCCGCUGUGAAAGUCGAGGGCUCAACCCUCGAAUGCCGGUGGAUACUGUCGGGCUUGAGUACGGGAGAGGCGAGUGGAAUUCCUGGUGUAGCGGUGAAAUGCGCAGAUAUCAGGAGGAACACCGAUGGCGAAGGCAGCUCACUGGGACGGUACUGACGCUGAGGCGCGAAAGCGUGGGGAGCAAACAGG